AGAGGCUUCACCCCAAGUUGAGGUUGAACAUACUAUUAGAAAAUCGUGCCGAGGUAGCAACUUCACUAUGGUCGAUGACAAUUUGCUUGUGGAGGCGUGGCUUUAUGUUUCUAUGGAUGCCGUUCAAGGAAAUCAACAAAAAAACAAGGUUUAUUGGAAAAGAAUUUGUGACUACUUUCACGAACGCAAGACACUUGGAGCCAAUCGUAAUCAGACCUCUCUAAUGAAUCGGUGGUCAACGAUUCAACUUGCAGUAAAUAAGUUUUGUGGUUUCUUAGCCCAAAUUGAAAAGAGGUCACAAAGUGGUUUGACUGAGCAAGACAAGAUUUGCCAAGCAAGACAAAUGUUUGUGGAUAUUCAAAAAUCACCCUUUAACUUUGAACAUUCUUGGCUUAUUUUGAGGUUUCAUCCAAAAUGGUUGGCUCAUUUGGACAAUAUAAAACUAAAGAAAAAACCAGUUGUGAUAAAUUUAGGUGACGAGAAGGUCCCUCAUAAAGCUUUUGAAGAAAUAGAGCGACCAAUAGGAGGGAAAGCCGAAAAUGAGAAACGAAAGAGCAAGGAGAAAAUAAAACUGUUUGAGGAAGCAUGUGAGCAAGACAAAGAGAUGUUUUUUCUUAAGCAAGAGGAAGUGCGCCUUAGAGAGAGGGAAUUGCGCCUUAGAAAAAAAACGCUUCGGUUGGAAGAAGAGAGAGAGAUAAAAGAAUUCAUGUUGUUGGAUAUAAGUCAAUUGGAUGAAGAUGGCAAAGAAUAUGUUCGCCGACGCAAAAAGGCAAUCCUUCAAGAAGUCUCUUGCAAGCUGGCCUGUUUGGAACCAUAUUAUGUUUCCAAGACAAGCUAAACAGUCUCUUUUACCAAGUAAACAGGAAAAAUGCCAUGGAGAGAAAAUCUGUGUGCAGUUUUCAUGAGGCUGUGGGACCAGUGUUGAUGACGUUAUUUCAGGGGAUAUAUUGCUCAGCAGGGAAUGACAGAUACUAAAUGAAGAAUUUUGUUUUGUUUAUGAAUUUGUUUAUCAAAACAUGUUUAAGUAAUUAGUUUAUCAGAAUUUAUGUUUGAUGUUCGUUAUUUUGGGGGAUGUUGUACAUCAGUGAAUAAUGACAAAGAUACUAGAAGAAGACUUUUCUGACUUCUUUGAAUGACAAUGACUUCCUGUUUAUGAAUUUGUUUAU